UAUUCGGAAAAAAAUAUUAACUGAGUGGCGGACGGGUGAGUAACGCGUGGGUAACCUGCCUUAUACAGGGGGAUAACAGUCAGAAAUGACUGCUAAUACCGCAUAACCCGCUAGUACCGCAUGGUACAGACGGAAAAGAUUUAUUGGUAUAAGAUGGACCCGCGUCUGAUUAUCUAGUUGGAGAGGUAAUGGCUCACCAAGGCGACGAUCAGUAGCCGGCCUGAGAGGGUGAACGGCCACAUUGGGACUGAGACACGGCCCAAACUCCUACGGGAGGCAGCAGUGGGGAAUAUGCACAAUGGGGGAAACCCUGAUGCAGCGACGCCGCGUGAGUGAAGACGUAUUUCGGUAUGUAAAGCUCUAU
rnacentral:rRNA from 1 species